rnacentral:lncRNA from 15 species
AUGACCAUGAAUGCAGCUGAUGUCAUCAUUCCUGUGGACAGCUCCCACCCUGCUGACUUGUUAGAGACUCGGAUGGAUGAAACUGCCCAAGACACUAAUCAACAGGUACAUUCAUGUUUAUCACUAUAGCUUCACUCCUUGAAUCUUUCUCACUCACCGUCUGUUGCUUAUUCCAUCCUUCAUGGUGGUAAAUACAUUUAUUAUGAUGGUAAUCUGUUAUGAAUCAGAAGUCUCAAGCUGUUUUAUGUAAUGCAUCCAGAAAGCUAAUGGUAAUAUGUAAUGGGAUAUGUAGGACACAUGAUUUUUAACCCUUAAUUUUGUGCCUGUUGGCAUGAAUUUAACUUUAGCAAUGUGUCAUUAAGAAUAUGCACUAGUGCAAUUAAAUGUUACGCAGUGAUAACCUCAAACUGAAUACUUGUUUUAUAUAAUUUGAAAUGGUUUUAUUGUGAAAUGUUUGCAGAUGACCAUGAAUGCGGCUGAUGGUGUCAUUUCUGGGGAAAGCUCCCACUCUGCUGUCUUGUUAGGACCACACAUGGACGAAACUGCCCAAGACACUAAUCAACAGAUGACCAUGAAUGCAGCUGAUGUUGUCAUCCCUGAGGAAAGCUCCUACCCGGCUGUCUUUGUAGAGAUGCAGAUGGAUGAAGCUUUUGAUCCACCAGACUCUAAUCAGCAGAUGAAAGACACAGAUGUUGAAGAGUCAAAUGAUGAAUCUGACUCUGCAUCAGGGAGUAGUGAUGAGUACAUACCAGAUACCACUUCUGAAAGUGAAGAGAGUGAUGCGAGCCUGAAACCAAGGACCAAACCCUUUUCUCUUGAUGACGUAUUGAAUGACUCCGGUUCAAUGAGUCCCCCAGUCUGUGACACGACAACUUUAGACCAUGUGAUCUUUGACAGCAACACAACAACAUAUGAGGUCACUGAAGCAGACGGACCCUGCACAAGUCAAGACAUUACUGACAGCAUAGUUGUUCGUGCUUCCAAAAAAAGAAAUGGCAAUAGAGUGUACAACAAGAGACAUUAUUGCUUGUAUUGCAGGAAACCUUAUGCCAAGAUGGCAAGACAUCUAGAAAGUGCACACCAAGAUAAAUCAGAUGUGGCCAAAGCUCUUAGCUUUCCGAAAGGUUCCAAGGAAAGUAAAAAACAGCUGGAUUAUAUUCGCAACAGAGGCAACUAUGCUCACAAUGCUGCUGUUAUGGAGUCAGGGAAUGGAGAAUUGGUACCAUUUAAACAACCACCUAAAGAAGCAAAAGGAGGUGAUUUCAUGCACUGUGCAUACUGCCAAGGACUUUUUACAAGAAAGGUCCUGUGGCGACACAUGCGAAGUUGUAAACUCCAACCUGGAUCAGUUCGCCCCAGACCAGGAAAGAACCGUGUUCAGUCUUUGUGUACACUUACACCCAGGGCGGUGCCUUCACACAUAAGUAAACAAUUGUGGGGAGUUAUCAGUGCCAUGAAGCCUGAUCCAAUCACGGAUACAAUAAAAAAUAGACCACUGUCAUUACUUGAUGUUGGGCGNGCACCU